UACAGAGGGGGCAAGCGUUGUUCGGAAUUACUGGGCGUAAAGGGCGCGUAGGCGGCCAACUAAGUCGGAUGUGAAAUCCCCAGGCUCAACCUGGGAACUGCAUCCGAUACUGGAUGGCUUGAAUUCGGGAGAGGGAUGCAGAAUUCCAGGUGUAGCGGUGAAAUGCGUAGAUAUCUGGAGGAAUACCGGUGGCGAAGGCGGCAUCCUGGACCGACAUUGACGCUGAUGAGCGAAAGCUAGGGGAGCAAACGGG
rnacentral:rRNA from 1 species